rnacentral:miRNA from 1 species
CUCGGGAGGGCAUGGGCCAGGC